rnacentral:rRNA from 1 species
GACGAACGCUGGCGGCGUGCUUAACACAUGCAAGUCGAGCGGUAAGGCCCUUUCGGGGGUACACGAGCGGCGAACGGGUGAGUAACACGUGGGUGACCUGCCCUCAGCUCUGGGAUAAGCCUGGGAAACCGGGUCUAAUACUGGAUAUGACUCCAUGACGCAUGUUGUGGGGUGGAAAGCCUUGUGCGGCUGAGGAUGGGCCCGCGGCCUAUCAGCUUGUUGGUGGGGUGANGGCCUACCAAGGCGACGACGGGUAGCCGGCCUGAGAGGGCGACCGGCCACACUGGGACUGAGACACGGCCCAGACUCCUACGGGAGGCAGCAGUGGGGAAUCUUGCGCAAUGGGCGAAAGCCUGACGCAGCGACGCCGCGUGAGGGAUGACCGGCCU